AUAAUUUCAAAAUAUUUAUUUUAAAUGCUGUGUGAGAGAUAGAAAAGUAGGGGAGAGAGAAAGAGAGGUGUAGGAGAGAGAGAGUGUGUGCGUGUGAAGAAGACAUGGAUUUUAGUCCAAAAAAUGUUAUUUUCUUAAUUUUGUGAAAUUCAUUUGAAAUUUAACCUAUUAUGAUGGAAUUUGAUUUUGGGUAUAACCAAAUUCAUAGCAUUUAUUCCUAGAAUUAAAAUCUAAAUUUUUUGCAAACCAAACAUACAAAAUAUUACUUAUUUCAUGUUCCCAAAAAUAAGUGAAGCAAAUUUGCAAAUCUAUCUUUGUUUCGAUUUCAAAUUGGCUGUAUAGGAUAAAGAAGCCGAACAACAACUUAUCUUUAGAAUUUGAAGAACCAAUACCUGUACUGCUCUACUUUUCUAAGCUUAAACUUGCUAUCCCUGUAAUAAAUCAGAAGCAAAGCAGCAAUUUUGCGCCAAAUUUCAUAAAUUAUCAUAGCCUCAACCGCAAAGCAAUUCAGUCCAGUCCAGUCAAACAUUUUGAAUAUCCUAAUUAGACCAUAAUCACGAAACUAAACGCCUAAAGGAAAAAGGAAUACGAAUAAUCAAGUAGAAAUGCACUUAAAAGCACCAUAAAAACAAAGACCUAAAGGAAUAGACAGAAGUAGUAACUACUGAAACAAAAAGUAUCUACAGCAUAGACAGCAAAACGACUGAAACAAAAGAAAUGGCCAUAAAAAUUAAUAAAUACUGAAUUUGAUCAGGAAAAAAUGCAUAGAAUUCAGGAACCUGAUACCCCCGCCGCUGAAAAAA
rnacentral:misc_RNA from 1 species